rnacentral:rRNA from 1 species
AGCGGCGGACGGGUGAGUAACGCGUGGGUAACCUGCCUCAUACAGGGGGAUAACAGUUGGAAACGGCUGCUAAUACCGCAUAAGCGCCCAGUACCGCAUGGUACCGUGUGAAAAACUCCGGUGGUAUGAGAUGGACCCGCGUCUGAUUAGCUAGUUGGUGGGGUAACGGCCUACCAAGGCGACGAUCAGUAGCCGACCUGAGAGGGUGACCGGCCACAUUGGGACUGAGACACGGCCCAA